UACGGGGGGGGCAAGCGUUGUUCGGAAUUACUGGGCGUAAAGGGCUCGUAGGCGGCCAACUAAGUCAGACGUGAAAUCCCCAGGCUUAACCUGGGAACUGCGUCUGAUACUGGAUGGCUUGAAUCCGGGAGAGGGAUGCAGAAUUCCAGGUGUAGCGGUGAAAUGCGUAGAUAUCUGGAGGAAUACCGGUGGCGAAGGCGGCAUCCUGGACCGGCAUUGACGCUGAUGAGCGAAAGCUAGGGGAGCAAACGGG
rnacentral:rRNA from 1 species